GAUGAACGCUGGCGGCGUGCCUAAUACAUGCAAGUCGAGCGAACAGACGAGGAGCUUGCUCGUCUCACGUUAGCGGCGGGCGUGUGAGUAACACGUGUAUAACCUCCCUAUAAUUCUGGGAACACUUCGGGAAACCGGCGCUAAUACCGUAUAAUAUCUUGAACCGCAUGGUUGAAUGGUGAAAUACGGUUUUGCUGUCUCUUCUCGCUGCUUCCGCGCCGCAUUAGCUAGUUGUUAAGGUAACGGCUUAUCAAGGCGACGAUGCGUAGCCGACCUGAGAGAGUGGUCGGCGGCAUGGGAACUGGACCACGGACAAGGCGCCUGAGAGAGGCAGCAGUAGCGUACCUGAGGCAAUGGGCGAGAGCCUGACGGAGCGAGGGGGCGUGAGUGGUGGAGGUCUUCGGAUCGUGAAACUCGGUUACGAGGGAUAAACAAAUGUGUAAGUAAAUGUGCACGGCUUGACGGUAACUGAUAAGAAAGCAACGGCUAACUACGUG
rnacentral:rRNA from 1 species